CCUCCUCACCCUCCUCCUCCUCCUCCUCCUUCAGCCGCUACUGCAGCAGCAUCCCGGUGCCUCCUGGAUCCAUGAAGAAAGCCCCCCUGCACGGCACGUCCCCCGCCACGAUGGGCCGCGAGCUAUAUACUGCGUUGUUGUGUUGAUAUCGAGAUAUUUCAGUUAUCAAAUAUGAAUCAUGCAUUUGAUAUUUCUGGCCACUUUGCUCGUCAGCAUCCUUUCGCCUUGGCUUCAUCCAUCACUAGCGUCAUCCGGUUUUUCAUGUCCGUGCGGUGGGAAUUGUCUUGCAGAUUCUCAAGGAGCAGGGGACAAGGUUGAGAGGGACGCAGUGCCAGCCCUGCUGAAGCAACAGGCAACUGCAGCACCUGCCACAGACAACACAACACAGCAUGCAGCAGAGCAUGUGAUCACCUACCCCUCGCGGUUGAUCUACUACCUAAACGAGGACUCGGAGAGCACUUACCAUGACCUGGACACCCGCACCAAGAACCAAGCCACAGACGGGCAGGCGGUCCACCUCGCCCAAGCCAGUUUCCAGUUAGAAGCAUUUGGCUCCAGAUUUGUUCUGGAUCUAGCACUGAACACUGACUUGCUGUCUUCAGAUUAUGUUGAAAUCCACUAUGAGGCGGGCAAACCUGUUCUAUCAAAGGGCGGUGAGCACUGUUACUACCACGGCCAGGUGAGAGGGAACGAUAACUCCCAUGUGGCCUUAUCUACCUGCAACGGGCUGCACGGGAUGUUUGACGAUGGAGUCUAUGUGUAUCUAAUUGAGCCCUUACAACAGACUCAUUCAAUGGAAACAGCUGCAAGGCCUCACAAACUAAGACGAGCAGCCUCCCUUCAGUGGAACAGUGAUUCAGAGGAACAGGCUGAGGAGGAGGAGCAGCUCUUCUCAGAGCUCGAUGACUUGUCCUGGCUGAGGCGCAGGAAAAAGCGAGCAAUGCCUCGCAGUGUGUUUGAGGAGAUGAAGUAUUUGGAGAUUAUGAUUGUCAGUGACCACAGUAUGUAUAAACGACACAAGACCAAGCAGCACACAAAGAAUUUUGCCAAGUCUGUGGUGAACUUUGUGGACGCUAUCUUCAAAGAGCAGCUGCAUACACGUGUGGUGCUCGUCGCUGUGGAGAUCUGGACGGACAAGGAUCAGAUCCCCGUCAGCGUCAGGCCACUGGAGAUGCUGCGGGAUUUCUCCAAGUACCGGCAGCAGAGCAUCAAGCACCACACAGACGCUGUGCACCUCUUCUCAAAUGUGACCUUCCACUACCGCAGAAGCAGCGCAGCAUACUUUGGAGGCAUGUGUUCCGUCAGCCGAGGAGUCGGGGUCAAUGAGUAUGGCACCACCUGGUCCAUGGCAGGGUCUCUGUCCCAGAGCCUGGCUCAGAACCUGGGCAUCCAGUGGGACCCAGCAUCCAGGAGAAAGGAAUGUGGUUGUGUUGACUCAUGGACUGGCUGCAUAAUGGAGGACACUGGGGUCCAACACCCACGGAGAUUCUCCAAAUGCAGCAUCUCAGACUACAAGGACUUCCUUCAGAAAGGUGGAGGCUCGUGUCUGUUUAACAGGCCAACCAAGCUGUUCGAGGCAACAGAAUGUGGUAAUGGAUUUGUGGAAGUGGGAGAGGAGUGCGACUGCGGAGCGAGAGCGGAGUGCUACAAAGAGUGCUGCAAGAAGUGUUCCCUCGCUAACGGGGCGCACUGCAGUGAUGGCCCGUGCUGCAAUACCACAUGUCUGUUUUAUCCUCGAGGUUACAGUUGCCGCUAUGCUGUGAACGACUGUGAUAUCUCAGAGACGUGCUCUGGGGACUCUGGACAGUGCCCUCCCAAUCUUCACAAACAAGAUGGUUACCUCUGCCAGUUAAACCAGGGCCGCUGCUACAAUGGAGAUUGCAAGACCAGGGAAAACCAGUGUAAAUACAUCUGGGGGUCAAAGGCUGGAGGCUCGGAGAAGUUCUGCUAUGAGAAGCUGAACACAGAGGGCACAGAGAAGGGCAACUGUGGGAAGGAUGGAGACAGAUGGAUCCAGUGUAGCAAACAUGAUGUGUUCUGUGGUUACCUUUUGUGCUCCAACAUCGGCCGCAGCCCACGCAUCGGCAUUAUGAAAGGAGAUAUCACACCAGCCUCCUUCAACCAUCAAGGCAGACUGGUAGACUGCAGUGGUGGCCAUGUCCUUUUGGAUGAUGAGACUGAUUUAGGCUACGUGGAGGAUGGGACUCCCUGUGGGCCGUCAAUGAUGUGCCUUGACCGCAAGUGUCUGCCCAUCCAGUCACUCAACAUGAGCACCUGCCCCAGUGGACCUAACGGACAGGUGUGCUCUGCCCAUGGGGUGUGCAACAAUGAAGCCACAUGCACCUGCGACACUACCUGGGCGGGGACAGACUGUAGCAUGCCUGACCCGCCUAAAGAGCCUGAGACCAUUCCGGACGAAGGACCCAAGGGUCCUAGUGCCACCAAUCUAAUAAUAGGCUCCAUCGCCGGAGCCAUCCUUGUGGCUGCCAUAGUGCUGGGGGGGACUGGAUGGGGCUUUAAUCCGUUACUGUUUGAGGGCGAGACUUUAAGUGGAGCGGUGAGACAGCGACACAGAGAGAGAGACACAGACAGAGGCCAGGACCCUUUUUGUUGGCCGCAGCCUUUGUGCCAUGGCUGACCACACCCACCUAAGACGGCCAGGCUCCGCCCUAGAGCAGAGCAGGACUCUCGGACCCCGCCCACACCAGCUGCCAUUGCUGCCUGCUUCACAGACCUGAAAUGUGAAGAAACGGCGAUACGACCCCAAUGCCACAGCCAUUUAACCCAAGGAGAGAUGGCAAUCGCAGACGGACUACUCCAAGGCUUUCUUAGUUGGCUACCUGACAGCUGGACUGCACUUAUUGCUGCUGAUCUUUGGCAUUAGAUUUACUUGAAAAAGACAUAGUGGACAUUUUAACAAAUUCCAUCGUAGUGACGUUAGAAAUGCAGCCUUUUCAACUCCACCUCACCCAUGUAACAAACCCCCCACACCCUGAUCUCUAGAGUGACAGAGCUCCUCUUCCAUCCUUUAGUGCCAGUGCACAGGCGUUCAGGCGGAAUCCACACCACUCUCUCACCUGGCAUGAUUAUCCGCACAAAAGCGUGCUGCUUGCUGGCCCCCUGGCAUGAAGAGCCCUCCCUGCAGGGCUCUGCAUGGCUAUGAAAGCUACAAAUAUACCGCAAAAAAAAAAAACAUACAAAGAGAAAAAAAAAUUAUCUUAUGCAGGAGACAACCUCGUUAAAAACCAAACCCAGUGGAGAGCCGGUUGAAGUUCCUAUAGUUCACGGUUUAGGUGCUGUAGAUGAUAAAGGAGGCUGCAUGUGAGGACCUGUAAGGGCAGUGCAGACCACAUAGUGAAUGCACACACACAAAAUUGUACAUAAAUAAGGAGUUCAGGUUUGGAAUUAACAGCAUAUUUUACAAGGACAUCAAUUGCUUUCGUUUUUUAUCUCAGCAUGUUGUAUAGCGGGUGUUUUUGGCAAUGUUAUUGAUAAAAAAGAAACUGGGCCAAAACUGUAAUUGCACGCUGCAUUCCUGCGAUUGGCUGUCAAAGGUUAGAUUCAGAGGACAGAGCAGCCGUGGUGGUCGAGGAGAAGCAUGUCAGUUCUAGAGGGAUUCAGACUGAUAACACGUCAGAUUAACGUCACAAGAUCCACCCCCCUCCCCUCCCCUCCCCUCCCUCCCGAAGUAUCUCAAAAGCCAAAGAACCAAUCACCUGAACAUAUGGAUGUUGUUGCACACAGAGCACUUUCCCCUCUGUCUGCAGCCAGUGGUGCCUCUCCUACUGCUGAGGGCAUGAAGUCUGUCCAUGCAGGCGCUCACCUGUAACCAGCCAGGUCUCACGUAACAGUCCUCAUCAACACCCACUAUACCGGCUUAACCUUUUGCUCUCAUAAACUCUUAGAAAUCAAGUUCAGCUCUACUGGUAACGCUGCAUGCAAUCACUAUAGUGGGCUUAUAAUUCUAUAUGGGAGUCCCCAAAAUCCGCAAGAAAAAUAUGCUACAAAAGAUAGGUGCAUGUCAACAACGAAAACAUUUAACUUUUAUUUACUAUGCAAAGAGAGAUAUUGCACAAACGUAUGGGUAAUAAUGAUAUCAGUGUAGACAUGGAAUUUACAAAAAACCUUCUGCUAAUCAGCUAAUCUUUUGUAUUUGGCCACUCCCACGUCUCGUUUCACUUCGCUUCAACGUACUCAAACUAUGAAUGGACGAAUGAAGAAAAAAAAAAGGCAAAUUAAUAUUUCCAAUGAAAAGCGAGAGAGCACCCUUUUACAUUUGUGGAACUGAAAAUCAUUUUUGUGUGUUUUUCAUCCGGUCUGAUAUUUUUAAUCUCACACAUGCACACACACACACACACAUAAACACGUACACAAAAACACACUGUAUGGUGCCUGUACAUAUCGAGGCCUGAACAGUUUCCUUGUGCAGGGCUAUUAUUUCCAGUCCAGCUGAUAGUUGGUGUGUUCCAGGUGCUGCCAUAGCACUGGCAUCGUUGUAAUCCUUCAUGUUACUCAUCAUCUGGUGUCCCUCUCUCACUGCAUCAUGUACAGUUGGACCGAUGAAUAAACUACUGACAAAUUUUA